UUAAAGACUAUGCGUAGAAGAGUAGUCACUGGCAAGAUUCACAGGGAGCCUCACUUAGUGCGACGAGGUAAUCGACCCAGCGAUGAAAGUAAUCUACAAGUCGUGACCGCGACGAAUGUUCGAAGUGGUCACUGGGAAUGCGCCCAUUACAGCAAUGAAGUAUCGUGGACCGACCGCGCAUCGGUUCGCCGUACUUUUAAAGUCAAUCAUCGCGAGGUGGUUGAAAAUUAAGGUGGUAACACGUCGAUAACACGUCCUUAGC
rnacentral:ncRNA from 1 species